rnacentral:rRNA from 1 species
GGAGGAAAAGAAACCAACCGGGAUUGCCUUAGUAACGGCGAGUGAAGCGGCAAAAGCUCAAAUUUGAAAUCUGGUACCUUCGGUGCCCGAGUUGUAAUUUGGAGAGGGCAACUUUGGGGCCGUUCCUUGUCUAUGUUCCUUGGAACAGGACGUCAUAGAGGGUGAGAAUCCCGUGUGGCGAGGAGUGCGGUUCUUUGUAAAGUGCCUUCGAAGAGUCGAGUUGUUUGGGAAUGCAGCUCUAAGUGGGUGGUAAAUUCCAUCUAAAGCUAAAUAUUGGCGAGAGACCGAUAGCGAACAAGUACAGUGAUGGAAAGAUGAAAAGAACUUUGAAAAGAGAGUGAAAAAGUACGUGAAAUUGUUGAAAGGGAAGGGCAUUUGAUCAGACAUGGUGUUUUGUGCCCUCUGCUCCUUGUGGGUAGGGGAAUCUCGCAUUUCACUGGGCCAGCAUCAGUUUUGGUGGCAGGAUAAAUCCAUAGGAAUGUAGCUUGCCUCGGUAAGUAUUAUAGCCUGUGGGAAUACUGCCAGCUGGGACUGAGGACUGCGACGUAAGUCAAGGAUGCUGGCAUAAUGGUUAUAUGCCGCCCGUCUGAAA